AUUGAACGCUGGCGGCAGGCCUAACACAUGCAAGUCGAGCGGAUGAAGGGAGCUUGCUCCUGGAUUCAGCGGCGGACGGGUGAGUAAUGCCUAGGAAUCUGCCUGGUAGUGGGGGAUAACGUCCGGAAACGGGCGCUAAUACCGCAUACGUCCUGAGGGAGAAAGUGGGGGAUCUUCGGACCUCGCGCUAUCAGAUGAGCCUAGGUCGGAUUAGCUAGUUGGUGGGGUAAAGGCCUACCAAGGCGACGUUCCGUAACUGGUCUGAGAGGAUGAUCAGUCACACUGGAACUGAGACACGGUCCAGACUCCUACGGGAGGCAGCAGUGGGGAAUAUUGGACAAUGGGCGAAAGCCUGAUCCAGCAAUGCCGCGUGUGUGAAGAAGGUCUUCGGAUUGUAAAGCACUUUAAGUUGGGAGGAAGGGCAGUAAGUUAAUACCUUGCUGUGUUGACGUUACCAACAGAAUAAGCACCGGCUAACUUCGUG
rnacentral:rRNA from 1 species